GAAGACGUAGGGAAGUGGCCAAACCCAACAAAGAAUAGUGGUUAGCUACUUAAUCGCUUACAGCAAAGUUAAUUGUAAAACAGGCAAGUUUUCGUGAGUUCGAAUCUCACCGUCUUCCA
rnacentral:tRNA from 1 species